CUUCAGCAUGUUAUCCAUCGUGCGGCUGUAGUCGCUUGCCAGGGUGGCCUCGGAGUAGCGUCUCUGCAGAGGUCUGGUGCUGGGAGCCCCUACACUGACGCUGGGGUGCAGCUCCCAGCCUGCUGCGUGCCGUGGACUGACUAUUCCUCUGAAAUAACAGCAUUUCCCUUCGCAACCCAGCACAUCCAUUGCUGCAGAACCAAAGGUACGAGCUGCUCCUGCUCUGCUGCUGCCUGACACGCUCAAACACUGUGCACUCCCACAGCUACCUUAGGAAAGAAAACACGUUCAGAAGGGAGAACGACACAGAGCUUCUUACCUUGCUCCGUCUCUGAGGCUGCCCGGAGGAUCUCAGCUGGUUCUGGUGCUGAGGAGACCCUUCAGAGCUUUUACAUACGUUCGCUGUGCAGGACCAACCCCACUUGCAUGAGGUAAACAGGAAAUCAAGCACCUAAUCUAUGUAAUUCAAACCCAUUUAGAGCUGCUUCAUUAAGUCUAUUGACCCACAGAGCAGGAAAAUAACCUUUUAAAAUAUGUUGACAUUAAUGGCAAUUAAACAUUACUAUAUCACGAAAUCGAGAGCAAA